UACGGGGGGAGCAAGCGUUGUUCGGAUUUACUGGGCGUAAAGGGCGCGUAGGCGGCGUGACAAGUCACUUGUGAAAUCUCCGGGCUUAACUCGGAACGGUCAAGUGAUACUGUCGUGCUAGAGUACAGAAGGGGCAACUGGAAUUCUCGGUGUAGCGGUGAAAUGCGUAGAUAUCGAGAGGAACACCUGCGGCGAAGGCGGCGCUCUGGGCCGGUACUGACACUGAGGAGCGAAAGCGUGGGUAGCAAACAGG
rnacentral:rRNA from 1 species